rnacentral:rRNA from 1 species
ACGAAGGGGGCUAGCGUUGUUCGGAAUCACUGGGCGUAAAGCGCACGUAGGCGGACUUAUAAGUCAGGGGUGAAAUCCCGGGGCUCAACCUCGGAACUGCCUUUGAUACUGUGAGUCUCGAGACCGGAAGAGGUGAGUGGAAUUCCUAGUGUAGAGGUGAAAUUCGUAGAUAUUAGGAAGAACACCAGUGGCGAAGGCGGCUCACUGGUCCGGUUCUGACGCUGAGGUGCGAAAGCGUGGGGAGCAAACAG